rnacentral:lncRNA from 1 species
UGCCAAAACUUGGAAGCCACCAAGAUGUCCUUCAGUAGGCGAGUAGAUAAAUAAGCCACAGCACAUCCAGACAAUGAAAUAUUAUUCAGCGCUAAAAAGAAAUGACUAUUAAGCCAUGGAAAGACACGGAGGAAGCUUAAAUGCACAUUACUAAGUGAAAUAAGCCAAUCCGAAAAGGGUACAUACAGUAUGAUUCCAACUCUAUGACCUUCUGGAAAAGGCAAAACUAUGGAGACAGUAAAAAGGUCAGUGAUUGCCAUGGGUUGGGAGUGAGGAGAAAAACAGGUAAAACAUAGAGAAUUUUUAGAGCAAAAAAAAAAAAAAGAAAAAGAAAGAAACUUAUGGUUACCAAAGGGGAAAAGGGGGAGGGAUAAGGUAGGAGGUUAGGAUUAAUAAAUACACACUACCACAUAUAAAAUAGAUAAAGAACAAGGACCUACUGUAUAGCACAGGGUAAUCUACUCAAUACCAUAUAAUAACCUAUAUGGGAGGAGAAUCUGAAAGGGGAUUUUUGCUCUAAUUGUUUUUGUUUCUGCCCCCAUGAAACACCUAUGAUUCUAAAGAGAAAUCACUGAUCCUCUGUUUCCCCGCCCCUGACCUUCACUUUCAGUACAUGGGGUUUUUUAAUUGAUAUCUUUUCCUCAUGAACCUGGGAAAGUCUCCCAUGUAUGCAUCAGGUGUAAAUUAUGCUUUUUACUGCCACUGUAUUCUUCAUUGCUUUGUUAACUUCCAGUGUCUCACCAUUAUACUUUUGGUUUAGGCAUUUCUGGAAGCACUUUUAUUUUAAAACCAUUGUAGAGAAAAGACGAGAGUGAUCUGUUGUCUGAAAUUCCAGGAAUUACACUAUCCAUCUGUAUUAAAAACAAAACAAAACCCUCAAAAAAAGUAGAAGACAAAGAUCCAGUAAAUCAAUAUGUUUCUUAUAUGUGAAAUGAAUUACUGAGUCAUCAUGAAUAAACUAUUACCAUCUCCUACAUGAGACCAUUUCGUAUCUUUUUUCAAUUAUCUAAAAUUUGCUUCACCAACUUUAAUAUUUGCAAAAACAGUAAUGUUUAAAUUUCAGACUGAUAAAUACAAGCUCUCUAACAAAAUAACUUGACAAGGGUAUCCAUUUUCUUUGCUUUGAAUGACAGGAAAACAUAAGAGAGGACUUUGUCACUGAUGACGAAGAAGAGAGACUAAUAAAAUUUCAGGAAUAGAGAACUUCACCUCUAGCUAAUUCAUCCGCUAACAAAAGUCCUUUCAUAGUUUAUUAAUUCAUAAACUCAGUGUUCUUAUAAAACAGGGCAGAGAAUUUGCCACACAAUGUCUAAAUAAACAUGAUAUUUUUAGGUUCAAAAGAUGUGCUUUCUAGUAGUAUUCCUUAAGACAGAAUCUCUUUUUAGAGGAAGACGUAUUUCUUUUUUUUUAACUGUAUUGGAGUAUUUGUUGACUUAUAAUGUUGUCUUAGUUUCAGGUGUACAGCAAAGAGAAUUGGUUGUAUGUAUAAUAUAUCCAUUCCUUUUCAGAUUCUUUUUCCAUAUAGGUCACUAUGAGCAUUGAGUAGAUUUUCCUGUGCUAUACGGCAGUUCCUUGUAACUCACGCAUUCCAUAUGUGUAUAUGCCAAUCCUAACCUCUCAAUUUAUCCCUUCCCCCAACAUUUCCCUUCUGGUAACCGUAGUUUGUUUUUGAAAUCUUUGAGUCUGUCUCUUUUGUGAAUAAGUUCUUUUGUGUCAUUUUUCAUUGGAUUCCACAUAUUAAUGAUCUCAUAUGAUAUUAGUCCUUCUCUGUCUGACUUAACUUCACUUGGUAUUAUAAUCUCCAGGUCCAUCCAUGUUGCUACAAACAGCAUUAUUUCAUGCUUUUUAAUGGCUGAGUAAUAUUCCAUUGUAUAUGUACCAUAUCUUCUUUAUCCAUCCCUCUGUUGAUGGACAUCAAGUGUGCUUCCAUGUCUUGGCUGUUGUAAAUAGUACUGCAAUGAACACUGGGGCUCAUGUACAUUUUCAAAUUAUGGUUUUCUCCAGAUAUAUGCCCAGAAAGGGGAUUGCUGGAUAUACAAUAGUUCUAUAUUUUAUUUUUUAAGAAACUUCUAUACUGUCCUCCAUAGUGGCUGCACCAAUUUACAUUCCCAUCAACCAUGUAGAAGGGUUCCCUUUUCUCCACACCCUUUCCAGCAUUUAUUGUUUAUAGACUUUUUGAUGAUGGACAUUCUGGCUGCUGUAAGGUGGUAUCUCAUUGUAUUUUUGAUUUGAAUUUCUCUGAUAAUUAGUCUUAUUGAGCACCUCUUCCUAAGCUUUUUGGACAUCUGUCUGUCUUAAGAAGACAUGUAUUUCUGAUUUCAUAUUUUCCCUUUGUAAAAAGGGGCUUAUACUAUUUUCCCACACAUGCAUUUUCUUCCUAUCAGUCUUUUUUCUCCUUGUGAUUUUCUAUUUCAUAGAGGUUUUUUUGUUUUGUUUUGUUUCGUUUUUUUGUCUUUUUGCCAUUUAUUGGGCCACUCUCGUGGCAUAUGGAGGUUCCCAGGCUAGGGGUCUAAUCGGAGCUGUAGCCAGCGGCCUAUGCCAGAGGCUCCAGCUCCAAUUCGACCCCUAGCCUGGGAACCUCCAUAUGCCGCGGGAGUGGCCCAAGAAAUAGCAAAAAAAAAAAAA